rnacentral:misc_RNA from 1 species
AACCUUAUGGACCUGCGGGCGUAUACCUGCGGAAGGAUCAUUAUCAAAACAGCGGCCUUCGGGCCUUGCUGCACCCUUGUCUUUUGCGCACCGUAUUGUUUCCUCGGCGGGCUUGCCUGCCGGUUGGACAUUAUCAAACCUUUUUGUAGUUGCAAUCAGCGUCAGAAAAACAAUAAUUAUUACAACUUUUAGCAAUGGAUCU